rnacentral:rRNA from 1 species
UACGGAGGGUGCGAGCGUUGUUCGGAAUCACUGGGCGUAAAGCGCGUGUAGGCGGCCCAUUAAGUCUGAUGUGAAAGCCCGGGGCUCACCCCCCGGAAGUGCAUUGGAAACUGAUGGACUCGAGUCCCGGAGAGGAGAGUGGAAUUCCUGGUGUAGCGGUGAAAUGCGCAGAAUAUCAGGAGGAACACCGGUGGCGAAGGCGGAUCUCUGGGCCGAAUGACUGACGCUGGAGGAGCGAAAGCGUGGGGAGCGAACAGG